rnacentral:tRNA from 1 species
AUCGUGGGAUCAAGGCCCGCCUAUUCAG